rnacentral:rRNA from 1 species
GAUGAACGCUGGCGGCGUGCCUAAUACAUGCAAGUCGAGCGAAUAGACGAGGAACUCGCUCCUCUUAUGUAAGCGGCGGUUGGGCUAGUAACACGUGGAGAACGCUCCUAUAAGACUGGGACAACCUCUUGAUACUGGCGCUAAUACCCGUUACUAUAUCGAUCCGCAUGGUUCCAUAGCGACCGACGGUCUUGCUGUCUCUAACAGAUGGACCCGCGUCUGAUUUUCUAACUGGUAAGGUAACGGCUUACCCAGGCAACGAUUCGUAGCCCACCUGAGAGGCUGUUCCGCCACAGUGGAAGUGAGACACGGUCCAGACUCCUACGGGAGGCAGCGAUAGAGACUCAUGCGCCAAAGGAGAGAGCCUAACGGGGCAACACCGCGUGGGUGAUGAUGGUCUUCCGGUGCUAAGACUCUGUUGUUAGGGAAGAACAACUGUGUAUGUAACUACGCACGUCUUGACGGUACCUGACCAGAAAGCCACGGCUAACUGCGUG